GCCCGGAUAGCUCAGUCGGUAGAGCAGAGGAUUGAAAAUCCUCGUGUCGGGGGUUCGAUUCCGCCUCCGGGCACCA
rnacentral:tRNA from 1 species